UACGUAGGGUGCAAGCGUUGUCCGGAAUUAUUGGGCGUAAAGAGCUUGUAGGCGGUUUGUCGCGUCUGCCUGUGAAAUUUCGGGGCUCAACCCCGAACUUGCAGUGGGUACGGGCAGACUAGAGUGUGGUAGGGGAGACUGGAAUUCCUGGUGUAGCGGUGAAAUGCGCAGAUAUCAGGAGGAACACCGAUGGCGAAGGCAGGUCUCUGGGCCACUACUGACGCUGAGAAGCGAAAGCAUGGGGAGCGAACAGG
rnacentral:rRNA from 1 species